rnacentral:lncRNA from 1 species
UUCAGCUUUAUUUGUCGGUACCAGGAAAAAGAAUAAAAGCUCCAGAAAGAGGAAGGUUGUCUGCUGGGUUUGUGGUCAAACUGGACACGUGAGAAAGGAUUGCCCGAACGGUGGAGCUGAUUCGGCUAGAAGCUCUAACGUUGCUGCUGCCAAUGUGAUCUCCUGUGGCGAAGGAGAUGAUGUGAUCUCUCUGUAAUUGAGAGAUGUAUGUCCUCAUGGCAUGAUUGCUACCCGUUAGGAUGCCAUGAAAGAGGACGGAUUAUUGGUAGCUGAUCCACGGAAAUGCGCAUGGCAUUGGUUGACAGUUGAUGCAAAGUGUGUGGUGAAAAAAAAAAAAAAA